AACGCACCUUGCGCCCUUUGGUAAUCCGAGGGGCAUGCCUGUUUGAGUGUCUUGAAGCUCUCAAACAUUUAUUUACUUAAAUGUUUGGAUUUGGGUGUUCUUUGCCGGUCGCAAGAUCGGCUCACCCUAAACGCAUUAGCUGGCUUUUGGGUCCGCGAACUCGGUGUGAUAAUUGUCACUCGCUGGGAUUUCGUAACCUUAAGGAAGCUGCUUCCAAUCGUCUCCUCGUGAGACAAUACAUCUAAGUGUUUGACCUCAAAUCAGGUAGGACUACCCGCUGAACUUAA
rnacentral:misc_RNA from 1 species